AUGCGUUGGUUGUCUUGUUUCACACAUAACUUGAUUUUCUGCACUAGCCACAGGCCUCUUUUCGUUCUCGACCUCCGUAAGCACCCAUUUUCCGGCGAAGAUCUCAAAUCCAACAAUCACUCGGAAGCAUCAUCACCAUCGUUUUUCCGUGUAACAACUGUUAGAGGAACCUUAGUUGCUGUUGAGUUAGAGGAUGGCGUAAUGACCUUCUUCGUGGUUUAUCGCUUUUGA